GCAGGGAUGGCAGAGCCUGGUCGAUUGCGUCAGACUCAAGAUCUGAUGACUUAGGUCUUCGGGGGUUCGUGCGAAUUUUCAAUUGAAAAUUUGCAGCCCAAAAAUCCCUCUCCCUGCA
rnacentral:tRNA from 1 species